rnacentral:rRNA from 4 species
UAGAGUUUGAUCCUGGCUCAGGACGAACGCUGGCGGCGUGCUUAACACAUGCAAGUCGAACGGAAAGGCCCUUCGGGGUACUCGAGUGGCGAACGGGUGAGUAACACGUGGGUGAUCUGCCCUGCACUUUGGGAUAAGCCUGGGAAACUGGGUCUAAUACCGGAUAGGACCACGCGCUUCAUGGUGUGUGGUGGAAAGCUUUUGCGGUGUGGGAUGGGCCCGCGGCCUAUCAGCUUGUUGGUGGGGUAAUGGCCUACCAAGGCGACGACGGGUAGCCGGCCUGAGAGGGUGACCGGCCACACUGGGACUGAGAUACGGCCCAGACUCCUACGGGAGGCAGCAGUGGGGAAUAUUGCACAAUGGGCGCAAGCCUGAUGCAGCGACGCCGCGUGAGGGAUGACGGCCUUCGGGUUGUAAACCUCUUUCAAUAGGGACGAAGCGCAAGUGACGGUACCUAUAGAAGAAGGACCGGCCAACUACGUGCCAGCAGCCGCGGUAAUACGUAGGGUCCGAGCGUUGUCCGGAAUUACUGGGCGUAAAGAGCUCGUAGGUGGUUUGUCGCGUUGUUCGUGAAAACUCACAGCUUAACUGUGGGCGUGCGGGCGAUACGGGCAGACUAGAGUACUGCAGGGGAGACUGGAAUUCCUGGUGUAGCGGUGGAAUGCGCAGAUAUCAGGAGGAACACCGGUGGCGAAGGCGGGUCUCUGGGCAGUAACUGACGCUGAGGAGCGAAAGCGUGGGGAGCGAACAGGAUUAGAUACCCUGGUAGUCCACGCCGUAAACGGUGGGUACUAGGUGUGGGUUUCCUUCCUUGGGAUCCGUGCCGUAGCUAACGCAUUAAGUACCCCGCCUGGGGAGUACGGCCGCAAGGCUAAAACUCAAAGGAAUUGACGGGGGCCCGCACAAGCGGCGGAGCAUGUGGAUUAAUUCGAUGCAACGCGAAGAACCUUACCUGGGUUUGACAUGCACAGGACGCCGGCAGAGAUGUCGGUUCCCUUGUGGCCUGUGUGCAGGUGGUGCAUGGCUGUCGUCAGCUCGUGUCGUGAGAUGUUGGGUUAAGUCCCGCAACGAGCGCAACCCUUGUCUCAUGUUGCCAGCACGUUAUGGUGGGGACUCGUGAGAGACUGCCGGGGUCAACUCGGAGGAAGGUGGGGAUGACGUCAAGUCAUCAUGCCCCUUAUGUCCAGGGCUUCACACAUGCUACAAUGGCCGGUACAAAGGGCUGCGAUGCCGUGAGGUGGAGCGAAUCCUUUCAAAGCCGGUCUCAGUUCGGAUCGGGGUCUGCAACUCGACCCCGUGAAGUCGGAGUCGCUAGUAAUCGCAGAUCAGCAACGCUGCGGUGAAUACGUUCCCGGGCCUUGUACACACCGCCCGUCACGUCAUGAAAGUCGGUAACACCCGAAGCCGGUGGCCUAACCCUUGUGGAGGGAGCCGUCGAAGGUGGGAUCGGCGAUUGGGACGAAGUCGUAACAAGGUAGCCGUA